UACGUAGGUGGCAAGCGUUGUCCGGAUUUAUUGGGUUUAAAGGGUGCGUAGGCGGCCUUGUAAGUCAGUGGUGAAAUACUCCAGCUUAACUGGAGGGGUGCCAAUGAUACUGCAGGGCUUGAGUACAGAUGAGGUAGGCGGAAUUGACGGUGUAGCGGUGAAAUGCAUAGAUAUCGUCAAGAACACCGAUAGCGAAGGCAGCUUACUGGGCUGUAACUGACGCUGAGGCACGAAAGUGUGGGAGUCAAACAGG
rnacentral:rRNA from 1 species